GACGAACGCUGGCGGCGUGCCUAACACAUGCAAGUCGAGCGGGGAGGAGAAAGCUUGCUUUCGAAUCCUAGCGGCGGACGGGUGAGUAACGCGUGAGCAACCUGCCUCUUACAGGGGGAUAACGCAUCGAAAGAUGUACUAAUACCGCAUGAGACCACAGAACCGCAUGGUUUAGGGGUCAAAGAUUUAUUGCUGAGAGGUGGGCUCGCGUCUGAUUAGGUAGUUGGUGAGGUAACGGCCCACCAAGCCGACGAUCAGUAGCCGACCUGAGAGGGUGAUCGGCCACAUUGGGACUGAGACACGGCCCAA
rnacentral:rRNA from 1 species